GACUUAAGCAUAUCAAUAAGCGGAGGAAAAGAAACCAACAGGGAUUGCCCUAGUAACGGCGAGUGAAGCGGCAACAGCUCAAAUUUGAGAUCUGGCCCUUGGGUCCGAAUUGUAAUUUGUAGAGGAUGUUUUUGGUGCGGUAUCUUCCGAGUUCCUUGGAACAGGACGCCUUAGAGGGUGAGAGCCCCGUACGGUUGAAUACCUAGCCUUUGUAAAACUCCUUCGACGAGUCGAGUAGUUUGGGAAUGCUGCUCUAAAUGGGAGGUAAAUUUCUUCUAAAGCUAAAUACCGGCCAGAGACCGAUAGCGCACAAGUAGAGUGAUCGAAAGAUGAAAAGCACUUUGAAAAGAGGGUUAAAUAGCACGUGAAAUUGUUGAAAGGGAAGGAUUUAUGACCAGACUUUUUCUAGGCGAAUCAUCCGGUGUUCUCACCGGUGCACUUCGUUUAGUUUAGGCCAGCAUCGAUUUUCGGAGAGGGAUAAAAGCUUUGGGAAUGUGGCUCCUCCGGGAGUGUUAUAGCCCAUUGUAUAAUACCUUUCUGGGGAUCGAGGUACGCGCUUCUGCAAGGAUGCUGGCGUAAUGGUUAUCAAUCACCCGUCUUGAAACACGGACCAAGGAGUCGAACAUUUGUGCAAGUGUUUGGGUGUUAAACCCUCACGCGUAAUGAAAGUGAACGGAGGUGAGAGCCCUUACGGGUGCAUCAUCGACCGAUCCUGAUGUCUUCGGAUGGAUUUGAGUAAGAGCAUAACUGUUCGGACCCGAAAGAUGGUGAACUAUGCGUGGAUAGGGUGAAGCCAGAGGAAACUCUGGUGGAGGCUCGCAGCGGUUCUGACGUGCAAAUCGAUCGUCAAAUCUGCGCAUGGGGGCGAAAGACUAAUCGAACCAUCUAGUAGCUGGUUACCGCCGAAGUU
rnacentral:rRNA from 1 species